CGAACUCCGAACGGGCAAGGAGCCGGGGUCGCCCGAUCGGACCCCGGACGUGAAGUCGACGAUGGUCGGUGGGCUGGUUUUGGUAAGCAGAACGGGCGAUUCGGGAUGAACCGGAAGCGGGGAGAAAGGGCCCGAGAUUGCGUCGACGCGGAUCCCGAAAAGGGCGUCGAUCCGUCGCGACAGCGGGACGGUGGUCAUGGAAGUCGAAAUCCGCUAAGAAGCGUGUAAAAACGUACCCGCCCAACGGAUCGGCCCCGAAAAUUGAUGGCGCUCGAACGCAACCCUCGAACCCCGCCGACGGAGGCUAGGGGAGGCCCCGUCGAGUAGGCGGACGCGCGGGUCGCUUCGACGCUCCCGCGCGAGCGGGGGCGGAGCGGCCCGUGGUGCAGAUCUUGGUGGUAGUAGCGAUCACCCAGGCGAGAACCCUGAGGGCCGAAGUGGAGAAGGGUUUCUCGAGAACGGCACUCGCUCGAGAGUUAGUCGAUCCUAAGCUGCCGGCGGCAGCC
rnacentral:rRNA from 1 species